UACGAAGGGGGCUAGCGUUGCUCGGAAUCACUGGGCGUAAAGCGCACGUAGGCGGCAUCUUAAGUCGGAGGUGAAAUCCUGGAGCUCAACUCCAGAACUGCCUUCGAUACUGAGAUGCUUGAGUCCGGGAGAGGUGAGUGGAACUGCGAGUGUAGAGGUGAAAUUCGUAGAUAUUCGCAAGAACACCAGUGGCGAAGGCGGCUCACUGGCCCGAUACUGACGCUGAGGCACGAAAGCGUGGGGAGCAAACAGG
rnacentral:rRNA from 1 species